rnacentral:rRNA from 1 species
UACGGAGGGUGCAAGCGUUAUCCGGAUUUACUGGGUUUAAAGGGUGCGUAGGUGGGUCUGUAAGUCAGUGGUGAAAUCUCCGGGCUUAACCCGGAAACUGCCAUUGAUACUAUAGGUCUUGAAUUAUCUGGAGGUAGAGCGGAAUAUGUCAGUGUAGCGGUGAAAUGCUUAGAUAUGACAUAGAACACCAAUUGCGAAGGCAGCUCACUACGGAUAUAUUGACACUGAGGCACGAAAGCGUGGGGAUCAAAC